UACGUAGGGUGCAAGCGUUAAUCGGAAUUACUGGGCGUAAAGGGCGCGUAGGCGGCCUUCUAAGUCGAACGUGAAAUCCCCGGGCUCAACCCGGGAACUGCGUCCGAUACUGGAAGGCUUGAAUCCGGGAGAGGGAUGCGGAAUUCCAGGUGUAGCGGUGAAAUGCGUAGAUAUCAGGAGGAACACCUGCGGUGUAGACGGCUUACUGGACCAUAACUGACGCUGAGGCACGAAAGCGUGGGUAGCAAACAGG
rnacentral:rRNA from 1 species